GGGUCAGGAGGAAUGAGGGAUGAACACUGGGUUAAAUGGCGGAAGGGGCUGGGAGAAGUUGGGAAGGGGUCUGGGAGGGCGAGGGAGGCAGGGAGGGACUGGAAGGCUGGCCCUGCUGGACAGCAGCCAUCACAGCCUUCUCAUGCCUCUGAAGCUCAUUAUCCUAGAGUUUCAAGGUCAGGUCAGGCAAGUGCGGAGCCCAGGUGGGGGCUGGAGUUUGUGGAAACCAGCCUGGUCUUGGAACACAUCAAGGAAACGAAAUCACUGCCCAGCGGCCGGCCCGGGGACGCUUCUCCAGCCUGCCUUCAGGAAGACAGGGCUACAGACUGGUCACUUGAGCUCUCUGGAAAUCAGUCUCCUCAUCUGGAAAACAUGGCUCACCUGGACCUUGUGACGGGCGUGAGGUGAUGGCAUCAGAUAAUGUGCACGAAUGACCCUGUAAGUCAUAAAUUGCUUGCAGUGUCUCUCCAGUGACCGCCAAGUGCAUUUUGGAGCCCAGUGAACUUGAGUUUGCAUCCCAGCUCCUGACCUCCUGUGGCCCACGUCCUCCCUGGAGGAUGGGCUCUGGAGGCUGGAGGGCUGGUGGAAGAGGAAGUGAGAUGGCAGCUCACUGGCUUCUGCAUCAGGCCCCAACUGUACCCUGGUCCUCCAGCCUUGCACGUGCCUCCUCACAGCUUCCCUUGAACAUCCUGUAUCAUCCAGCAGCCCUGAACCGUGUGAUUUUUCCUCUGGGAGGUGACAGCCUAGACCAGAAGUUGAAGCCUGGCCCCAGGGUGUGGUGUGCCCCACUGUCAGAGGGACCUCAGAUGAGCCACUGAGCCUCUCUCUGCCUCAGUUCCCUUAUCAUCUAAAAUGGGUGGAAUCAGCUGGGUGUGGUGGCUGACGCCUGUAAUCCCAGCAUUUUGGGAGGGCGAGGUGGGUGGAUCGUUUGAGGUCAGGAGUUCAAGACCAGCCUGGCCAACAUGGUGAAACCCCAUCUCUACUAAAAAAUACAAAAAUUGGCUGGAUAUGGUGGCGGGCACCUGUAUUCCCAGUCACUCGGGAGGCUGAGGCAGGAGAAAUCACUUGAGCCUGGGAGGCAGAGGUUGUGGUGAGCUGAACUCGAGCCACUGCACUCCAGCCUGGGUGACAGAGCGAGACCCUGUCUCAAAAAUAAAAAAAUAAAAUAAAAUAAAGUAAAAUAAAAUAAAAUAAUCAUCUGGUCCCUGGCUGGGCUCACAAAAAUCCCACAGGGAAUGAAU
rnacentral:lncRNA from 1 species